AGCAGCCGCGGUAAUUCCAGCUCCAAUAGCGUAUAUUAAAGUUGUUUGCAGUUAAAAGCUCGUAGUUGAAUUUCGGGGUCAGUAGGUUGGUCAUGCCGCUGGUAUGUACUGAUCUUACUGAUUCCUCCUUCCUGAUGAACCGUAAUGCCAUUAAUUUGGUGUUGCGGGGAAACUGGACUGUUUACUUUAGAAAAAUUAGAGUGUUUAAAGCAGGCUAACGCUUGAAUACAUUAGCAUGGAAUAAUGAAAUAGGACGUUCGAUCCUAUU
rnacentral:misc_RNA from 1 species